CCUACGGGCGGCAUCAUUUAUUAAUAUUUUUCAAUUUCCUAUAUUCUUAACCAUCCAAUUCUCUUUAUUGAAGACUGCCCUACUGGUUGUAAACCUCUUUUGUCGGGGAGCAAAGAGAGUCACGUGUGACUCAUUGAGAGUACCCGAGGAAAAAGCAUCGGCUAACUCCGUGCCAGCAGCCGCGGUAAUACGGAGGAUGCGAGCGUUAUCCGGAUUUAUUGGGUUUAAAGGGUGCGCAGGCGGAGGUGCAAGUCAGCGGUCAAAUUGCGGGGCUCAACCCCGUACUGCCGUUGAAACUGCAUCCCUUGAGUGCGCGAGAAGUAUGCGGAAUGCGUGGUGUAGCGGUGAAAUGCAUAGAUAUCACGCAGAACUCCGAUUGCGAAGGCAGCAUACCGGCGCGCAACUGACGCUCAUGCACGAAAGCGUGGGUAUCGAACAGGAUUAGAUACCCCUGUAGUC
rnacentral:rRNA from 1 species